ACUGAAACGGUUCAGCUCAUAAAAGAGCCCAUUGCCAAUCCUGACAGCUUCAUCUUUGGUACAGAUGUGGUGGAAGGAGAACAGCAACUCACUGAUGUGAUUCUAGACCCCUGCAACGUGUGUGCCAUGGCCAGUGUAACCUCCCCAUAACACAGAUAAACGAAUAAAUACACGAAACCCCAACUCGUUGUGUCACUACAAGUGAGAUGUGAAUCUAAAAGCACUCACCAGUUUGGCGGGGUGGACGGCCCCGUGAGCCUCAUCUUCGCUUUGUUUACAGGCACCAGCUACCACACCUGGAUGUGAGAGACAGGGAUCCCACUCAAGUCCUCACACGCUCAUGGCAGGCGCUUUCCUCACUGAGCCAGAUGGAGGUCCCUCGGCCUCUGGCAAGCUCGAACUUCCGGCCCUUGGAGCACCGACGUAGGGUUUGAUUUGGCUGUGUGGGGUUCCUGGGGCCUUGCCAAAAUGCCAGUACACCUCUUGGCCCUUCUGAGGACCACACGGGAGCAUGGAGCUCAAAGGAAACUAAUUUUAGGUAACAGGAAGACUUUUAAACCACAGCCACGUCAUGGAUUUGGCUGCGUACCGGUAAUGCAUCCAAUAAGGCACAGCAGAUGGUUGCAGAAGCUGCCUUCGAGCUGGCCAGGAGUGUAGCUUUCAGCUGUGCCUGCAGUGGACUGAAGCUAUGCUUGAAGGAAUGAGUCAAUGAACUGGGAAAGGGCUACUAACUUUCUAACGGCAUAAAAUAUGUGUAGAAAAUUUAUAAAAAGUAACUGAUUUUGUUAUUUCAAGAGUGUUUUAAGACCUGCAUGCUACUUUAUGUUUUCGAAGGGCAAAGGCACAAGGAUUAGCAAAUGUCUCCACUUUUAUAUGAACUCACAUAUUCUUACAUGGUACAUUUUGUUUUGAUAGUGCGUCUGAGUGUAGGUUUUUGCCUGUGAGCCUACUGCCCUCCGAAGCUGGAUGAAGAUGUUGGAGCGACUCUGAGAUGCCUGAUCAUGGGUGCUAGGAACCGAACUCUAGUCCUUUUGCACAGGCUCUUAGCUGCUAAACCAUCUCUCCUGCCUUGAUGCUGCAUUUGAGAACCUGAAUCCCUUCCCAUCUCAUCCUAAUAGCUGAUAAGCUCUUGGCUGAUGCACAGAUACGCACUUGUAGGAGGCAUGGUGCAUCUUGUGCUCACAGAUGAAUUCUGGGGAAACCAGGAAUGUUAAACACACAGGGUUGUCUCUUCAAAAGGAGAGAUGUGUAACCUGUGUUCCACCCAGACGGCUGGGAAUGAAUGUGAUGAGUAGCCUGGUGACCUCUGUGCUAUAUGCAUGACCAGGUCACACCAGCUCUGCAGACUUUUAUGUUUGUAUCAGCCAAUCUACAGUGCCAUCAUCCCAGAAAUGGGAGACGUCACUUGCACUUUACAAGAGCUUCCAUGUAAUCAUGCCUUAAGCUUGCUGUGCACAAGGGAUUAAUUAAUUAGUUAUCAUUAGGAAUUCAUUUUUUCUAAACUGUGCUGUACUUAAAUAUUCCUGAAAUAAACUACCCGUGGUUAGACUCUUAAGCUUUGAA
ensembl:lncRNA